rnacentral:rRNA from 1 species
AGUGAACGCUGGCGGUAGGCCUAACACAUGCAAGUCGAACGGCAGCACAGGAGAGCUUGCUCUCUGGGUGGCGAGUGGCGGACGGGUGAGGAAUACAUCGGAAUCUACUCUGUCGUGGGGGAUAACGUAGGGAAACUUACGCUAAUACCGCAUACGACCUACGGGUGAAAGCAGGGGAUCUUAGGACCUUGCGCGAUUGAAUGAGCCGAUGCCGGAUUAGCUAGUUGGCGGGGUAAAGGCCCACCAAGGCGACGAGCCGUAGCUGGUCUGAGAGGAUGAUCAGCCACACUGGAACUGAGACACGGUCCAGACUCCUACGGGAGGCAGCAGUGGGGAAUAUUGGACAAUGGGCGCAAGCCUGAUCCAGCCAUACCGCGUGGGUGAAGAAGGCCUUCGGGUUGUAAAGCCCUUUUGUUGGGAAAGAAAUCCAGCUGGCUAAUACCCGGUUGGGAUGACGGUACCCAAAGAAUAAGCACCGGCUAACUUCGUGCCAGCCGCCGCCGUAA